rnacentral:lncRNA from 1 species
AUACUAUUAAGAAAAAUUACAAAGUAAAAUGAAAGUUAUUAUUUCCUAUGUUUCAUUGUAUACAGCAACGUUUGACUUGCAUACGAAAUUAAGGAAGAAAAAAGAUUUCAGAAACAUCUAGCAUAACAAACACCUAUAAGAAUAUGUUUUUUUUUUUAGAAGAAAAUUUUUUGUAUUUCAACUAAUAUAGCAAAAUUACAUCAUCUGUUUUUUUGGACUCUAGAACAGUUUUCAUAUGUACAAUCAUUUUGAAAAGCUCUACAACUAUUGUUGUUAAACUAUUGUCUUAUUACAUAAAUUGCUAUAUUUGUGGAACUUCAUACGGAGUAGCUAUUUAUGUUCUGUAACAUGGGUGACCAUUUAGGUAUCUUUUCGCCAGUGAAGUGCACUUGAAUUGUGAUCUCCUUUGCU